UACGUAGGGGGCUAGCGUUGUCCGGAAUCAUUGGGCGUAAAGCGCGUGUAGGCGGCCCGGUAAGUCCGCUGUGAAAGUCGGGGGCUCAACCCUCGAAUGCCGGUGGAUACUGCCGGACUAGAGUCCGGAAGAGGCGAGUGGAAUUCCCGGUGUAGCGGUGAAAUGCGCAGAUAUCGGGAGGAACACCAAUGGCGAAGGCAACUCGCUGGGACGGUACUGACGCUGAGACGCGAAAGCGUGGGGAGCAAACAGG
rnacentral:rRNA from 1 species